CCCCUAGACGUUCUGGGCUGCACGCGCGCUACAAUAAUACGCACAGCGAGUAUCACCGAGCUCGAAAGGGCAAGGUAAACAAUAGAAAAGGUACUGUAAUGGUUAUAGGUCCUUGUAAUUAUUGAUCUUCAACGAGGAAUUCCUAGUAAGUAUGUGUCAUCAUCACGCACUGAUUACGUCCCUGCCCUUUGUACACACCGCCCGUCGCUCCUACCGAUUGGGUGAGCCGAUGAAACUCUCGGAUGUAGGCUAUUCAUAGCCCGCAGAAGAGAUUUGAAUCGUAGCGCUUAGAGGAAGGAGAAGUCGUAACA
rnacentral:rRNA from 1 species